rnacentral:rRNA from 1 species
CCUGAAACCGUGUACGUACAAGCAGUGGGAGCCUCUUUAUGGGGUGACUGCGUACCUUUUGUAUAAUGGGUCAGCGACUUAUAUUCUGUAGCAAGGUUAACCGAAUAGGGGAGCCGAAGGGAAACCGAGUCUUAACUGGGCGUUAAGUUGCAGGGUAUAGACCCGAAACCCGGUGAUCUAGCCAUGGGCAGGUUGAAGGUUGGGUAACACUAACUGGAGGACCGAACCGACUAAUGUUGAAAAAUUAGCGGAUGACUUGUGGCUGGGGGUGAAAGGCCAAUCAAACCGGGAGAUAGCUGGUUCUCCCCGAAAGCUAUUUAGGUAGCGCCUCGUGAAUUCAUCUCCGGGGGUAGAGCACUGUUUCGGCAAGGGGGUCAUCCCGACUUACCAACCCGAUGCAAACUGCGAAUACCGGAGAAUGUUAUCACGGGAGACACACGGCGGGUGCUAACGUCCGUCGUGAAGAGGGAAACAACCCAGACCGCCAGCUAAGGUCCCAAAGUCAUGGUUAAGUGGGAAACGAUGUGGGAAGGCCCAGACAGCCAGGAUGUUGGCUUAGAAGCAGCCAUCAUUUAAAGAAAGCGUAAUAGCUCACUGGUCGAGUCGGCCUGCGCGGAAGAUGUAACGGGGCUAAACCAUG